UACGAAGGGUGCAAGCGUUACUCGGAAUUGCUGGGCGUAAAGCGUGCGUAGGUGGUUUGUUAAGUCUGAUGUGAAAGCCCUGGGCUCAACCUGGGAAUUGCAUUGGAUACUGGCAGGCUAGAGUGCGGUAGAGGGUAGUGGAAUUCCCGGUGUAGCAGUGAAAUGCGUAGAUAUGUGGAGGAACAUCAGUGGCGAAGGCGGCUUCCUGGCUUAAAACUGACACUGUGGCGCGAAAGCGUGGGUAGCAAACAGG
rnacentral:rRNA from 1 species